rnacentral:lncRNA from 1 species
GGGAAUAUUAGUGUUCCCUCUGAGUCUUCAGGAGGGGAGCCUUGGAACAAGGCUGCAGCAGAGAAAGCUUUGCCUGGCAGUGCGAGCAGCAGGAACAGUUCCCUGGAGCCAAAUGAGCCUGAGGUCCAUGAGCUGUACCUCGCCAGGAGAGCUGCUCUGCGUGGGAGGAAGCAACUAAGGGAGAGCCUGUGAAACAGGGCAGCGGGAAUCCCUCUGUAUAUAGUUAUAUUUAAAGAUGGGUAGAGUUACAUUUCUAGAUAUAGUUGCAUAUUUAUAUUUAUAGAUGUAUAGAGAUGAAACAAUAUAUUAAUAUUUUAUUAUUUAUUAUUUUUAAUAUUUAGCAUUAUUUCUUACAAUUACUAUUAUUUUUAUUAUUCUUACAGUAGUAAUUAGUAAUAAUAUAUUUUAUAAUUAUUGCUGUAAUAUUAAAACAUUUUAUAUUAAUAAUAUUAUUUAAUAUUUUUUACUAUUUAAUAUUUAACUUGAUAAUUACAUACUUUAUAUAUUAAUAUUUAUUUUAUUUAUAUUUUAUUUGUAGACCUGUAUAGUUACAUUUACAUAUAGUCAUAUUUUUAUAGAUUUAUUAACAUAUAUAUGCACAGUCUACAUAUAAUUUUACAUCUAGUUAUAUUUAUAGGUGUAUAUAGUUACAUAGUUAGAUGUAUAUGGAUGUUUAGGUACAUAUAUUGAUAUUUGUAUAGGUAUAGGCUGCUUUCUCACCUCUGCUGCCUUUUCCAUCCCUCACUCUUCCCACUGUGCUGUCUCUGUCCCCGCUCCCUCUGCCGCCUCUGGGCUGGUGGCCGGGCCGGGGGAGCAGCAGCUCCAGCCCCAGGUCCCGGCCCCCCACACCCCCAUGGGACUGGGGGGAGCUUCUGGUGGCACCAGGCACCACUCCCCAAGGAGCUGCUGGAGGAUGGGCUGCCCUGAAUUCCUUGUGAGCAGCAAGAGACUGAUGAGGGCCAAGAGAGAGAAGCUGACGACCACCAGCCACAUCUUGAACAGGGACCUGCUGCUGCUGCUGCCUGAGACCCUUGAUGUCCAUCUUUACCUCUCCAGGAGGGCUGCUCUGCAUGGGAGGGGGAGACCGAGGAAGAACCUGUGAAGAUGGGGCGACUGGGAUCCCUCUGUAUAUACUUCUAUUUAGAGAUGUGUAUAGUUAUCGUUAUACCUAGGUAGUUAUAGGUAUAUAGAUAUUCACAUAUGUAGAUUGAUAUAUUUGUAUAGGUAUAUUUAUAUAUUUAUCUAGUUAUAUAUGUACCUAGUUGUAUUUAUGUAUGUAUCUAGUUGUAUUUAUAUAUCUGUGUUAUAUUUCUAUCUGUAUUUAGUUAUAAUUACAUAUGUGUGCAGUUGUAUAGCUAUAUAGUUAUAUUAUUCUAGUUAUAGGUAUAUGGAUUUUUAGGUGCAUAUAUUAAUAUGUAUCUAGUUAUAUUUAUGUAUGUCCAUUGCUAUAUUUAUGUAUAUUGUUAUAUUUUCAUUAUAUUUAAAUAGGUAUAGAGUUGUAUAUCUGUCUAGUUAUAUUGAUGUAGUUAUAGACCUAUGGAUAUAUUGAUAUUUGUAUAUUUAUAUAUAGGUUCACUAUGUGUAUAUUUAUAUAUGUAUUUAUAUAGUAUAUUUAACAUGUAAUUAUAUUUGUAUCUAUAUUGUUAUGGUUAUGUGUAUGUAGUUAUGUUUCUGUAGGUACAGAGUUGUAUAGUUUUAUAAUUAUAUUUAUUUACUUAUAGGUACGGUGUUAUUUGGAUAGAUAUAUUGAUAUUUUUGUAUUAGUUUAUAGGCUGUACAGUUGUAGUACUCUGCAAUAAGUUAACUUUUUUAACUGCAGUUAAUAUUUGUAUAUUUUUACAUAGCAUAGUUGUAGCAAUCUAAUAAAUUGUUUUAAACUUAAAUCGAUAUUUAUGUA